AGAGAGAGAGGCUGGUGGGCUGGUGCGGAGGAAUGCUGGCUGGCUCCAGCAGGCCGGGCGUUCGACCGAUUCCCUGGAUGAAGAAUUAAAACUAGAGUCUAGCUUGGAGAAUUACUUACAGUCCUUUGUGCUAAGGAUUGCAAUGUAACUCUGAAGUUCCCUUUGCCUGCUAGCGACAAUGGUCUGUGCCGGUCAUCUGGAGAGCCCAGCGCGCUGGAGCUGUUUGGGGGAAGUAGGGAGGGGGCGCCGUCGUGUACGCCGAUUUUCCACCCACCCUCGCCUAAUCAGGCGGCUCUCAAUCAGGUUUUCAACAUACUAAUCUUGAUCUAAGAGCUCCUAUCUCUGCAUAAGCGGAGGAAAUGAUUCGUUUUUAGAGGCUUCCGGGUUUAGAGAAGGAGGACGUCAGACUGGAGUCUAAAGGGCUGGUCUGGCGUCCGCCCUGCUCCCGGCGCCCGGCGGGACUGCGACCUCACCGGCGGCAUAAUUGUCUGUGUCCAGCGCGCUCCCGGGGCUACCCCGUGGUGGGAAAAGAAACCAGCCGCGCCUUGUUGGUGCCUUCCUAUUGGACUGAAAUUUCUAGAAGCCACUGUUCAUCAAAUGAAAACCAGAAAGGAAGGCCCACUAGGAGGUCGGCCAACACUCUGGAUUUCCUGGUUCUCUUCAAGGAAUGAAUGGAGUAGGAAAGAAACUUAGUCUGUUCUGUUCCCGGGCUGUGCGACUCACGCAAAUUCCGAGGCACUACGUGUGUCUUGCUAAAAACCUUGGGGUUGGGUGCUGGAAAGGGUCUGGACCGGGUUCGUCGCGCCAGGCCUUAGUCCAGGACCGGAGAAGGAGAGAAUCUACCCGACACUCAGAGCUUCCACCUUGGCGAAGAGCUGCCUAAUUGGAUGGCGAGCUGCUGCAAAAUUUGCGGUCUUCUAAUAACCCUUCUCUUCCUCCUUGACGAUUCCUAUCACAGGCAUAAAAAUGAUAUUUUCACACCCGCCUCGGACGGUAGGAGCUGUUUAUGAACAUCAAACAUCAAUGGUUCGGAAACGGCUGCAUUGACUGAGGUCUCUGGAGUUCGAUGUUUAAAAGCAAUAUAUCCGAAUUUGAAAAUUAUUACUCGAAGUAGUAAAAGUCCCCGCCAAUUUAACUAUUGAACUCUGCGCGUCUGAGCUCCUUGUGCUAACUACAAGUUUGAAGGAAUUUAUCCCAGAACUUGAGCAAAAGGCAGGUCAUACACUGGCUCUCAGCUUUAAAUGAUGCCCUCUCUUGGGCUGUGAUCCUCCAGAGAGCUGGCAAGGGCUCACAAAAUCCUAGUCUAGACAUGGCUGGGACCUGGGGAGAAACCUAAGCAGAGUAGCUACAGUGGCCUAACCAAAGUCUAGCUUGGCUGUGCCGCACUUUCUCCAACCUAAGACCCUGUACCACGUCGCGGCACAGUCGGUCAGCCCAAGGAUUAUCCGCUGUGCUAGAGGAAUGUGUGACCUUGGCUCCCAAAAAGGAACUGUCCACGUCCCUGAAGAGAACGCCCAGUUAUGUUCACCCUGAAACUGUGAGUGAGACCCUGGGGUGUUGGUUGCUGUCUUUGGAUUGUUGCCCACUUCGUGUGUUCGUCGGAGUCUGGAACAUGGAGAAAAGAGAACGUCCAGAGGUUGGUUUUGUUGCUAAAAGCAUGAGGCUGGUAAUCUGCAUUUGCACUCAGGGGCGUCGAGUGUGAAACUUACUCACUUUGGGACUUAAACUGGAUCCAGUCUCGGAGAAAAUAGAGGUGAGAUCAGUCUCGAAAGAGAACGGCGCCAAGAUGGAUGCCUGAAGGCGAUUUUCGGCUAGUCGAGUCUGAGAGCCUGAGGGGUGGGGAGGGUGUGAGUGACUUUCUUUAAAAGGCACACACAGGACACCUGGUGUGCAGAACAAUGCUGCUCUCCUUGGCUCUGUGGGAAGCCUCCAGGUCUUGAUGAAGAUUAAUUCUGGAGAUCCUAGGUGGGAGAGCCAGGUUUUGCUUAACCAGAGCCUGCACCUGAGCAUCAGGAAACCUGGACCCAUUAAAUGGGCAGAGAAAUAAAGUGAGAAGAGAACUUGGGGGCCAUCAGGAGCCCGAAAUUAGUAGAGAGGGCGACCUGGAAGACGCCUAAACGAUAGCUCAACACCAUCUAUGCAGUGUGACAUUCUCAAAUCCACACUCUCGACUAAAGCACGCAUGUGGUUGGGGACUCGGGUGUUUUGUGCCUUUUGUCCUGACCAAUAAACCAGGAACCUCGGAAA